CCUGACAUAUUCCUGUCAGUUCCCUAAGGAGACAUGCCGCCAUUGCGCUGAUGAUGGGGUGUGAAGCUCUCCUGACAAAGUAGCGAAAUGGGUUAAAACCGUGAUGCGGAGACCCCUGCGCAAACUUGCUCCGGAUAAACAA
rfam:Syntrophaceae bacterium CG2_30_49_12 cg2_3.0_scaffold_13954_c, whole genome shotgun sequence.